rnacentral:misc_RNA from 1 species
UCAAACUUGGUCAUUUAGAGGAAGUAAAAGUCGUAACAAGGUUUCCGUAGGUGAACCUGCGGAAGGAUCAUUAUCAAUUUACAGCGGACUUCGGUCCUGUCUGCACCCUUGUCUUUUGCGUACUUAUUGUUUCCUUGGUGGGUUCGCCCACCAAAAGGACACUUUACAACCACUUGUAAUUGUAAUCAGCGUCAGUUAACUAUAAUAGUUACAACUUUCAACAACGGAUCUCUUGGUUCUGGCAUCGAUGAAGAACGCAGC